rnacentral:rRNA from 1 species
UGGCUCAGGAUGAACGCUGGCGGCGUGCUUAACACAUGCAAGUCGAACGGAGUUUUUAACGGAAGUUUCGGAUGGAAGUUUAAGAACUUAGUGGCGGACGGGUGAGUAACGCGUGGGUAACCUGCCUCAUACAGGGGGAUAACAGUUAGAAAUGACCGCUAACACCGCAUAAUAUAGUGAAACCGCAUGAUUUUUGCUAUCAAAUAUUUAUAGGUAUGAGAUGGGCCCGCGUCUGAUUAGCUAGUUGGUGGGGUAAAGCCUACCAAGGCGACGAUCAGUAGCCGGCUUGAGAGAGUGACCGGCCACAUUGGGACUGAGACACGGCCCAAACUCCUACGGGAGGCAGCAGUGGGGAAUAUUGGACAAUGGGGGAAACCCUGAUCCAGCGAACCGCCGCGUGAGUGAAGAAGUAUUUCGGUAUGUAAAGCUCUAUCAGCAGGGAAGAUAAUGACAGUACCUGACUAAGAAGCCCCGGCUAACUACGUGCCAGCAGCGGC